rnacentral:rRNA from 1 species
UACGUAGGGGGCGAGCGUUAUCCGGAUUCACUGGGUGUAAAGGGAGCGUAGACGGCCAUGCAAGCCAGGGGUGAAAGCCCGGGGCCCAACCCCCGGACUGCUCUGGAAACUAUGUUACUAGAGUGCAGGAGAGGUAAGCGGAAUUCCUAGUGUAGCGGUGAAAUGCGUAGAUAUUAGGAGGAACACCAGUGGCGAAGGCGGCUUACUGGACUGUAACUGACGUUGAGGCUCGAAAGCGUGGGGAGCAAACAGG